rnacentral:tRNA from 2 species
UGAGUAGCUCAGUUGGAUAGAGCAACAGCCUUCUAAGCUGUGGGUCUUGGGUUCGAAUCCCA